rnacentral:rRNA from 1 species
CCUACGGGAGGCAGCAGUGGGGGAUAUUGCACAAUGGGGGAAACCCUGAUGCAGCGACGCCGCGUGGGUGAAGAAGCGCCUCGGCGCGUAAAGCCCUGUCAGCCGGGAAGAAAAUGUCGGUACCUGAAGAAGAAGCCCCGGCUAACUAUGUGCCAGCAGCCGCGGUAAUACGUAGGGGGCAAGCGUUAUCCGGAUUUACUGGGUGUAAAGGGGGCGCAGACGGCGAUGCAAGCCAGGAGUGAAAGCCCGGGGCCCAACCCGGGGACUGCUCUUGGAACUGCGUGGCUAGAGUGCAGGAGGGGCAGGCGGAAUUCCUGGGGUAGCGGUGAAAUGCGUAGAGAGCAGGAGGAACACCGGUGGCGAAGGCGGCCUGCUGGACUGCAACUGACGUUGAGGCCCGAAAGCGUGGGGAGCAAACAGGAUUAGAUACCCCGGUAGUC